GCCAGCUGUGUCUUACAGUUGGUGCACACAAAACACUCCUUAUGCCACGGCUCCUCCCGAUAGGUCACGCCGCCUUUAGCCAGGGUCUGACACGGAGACAAGUCGACAGUCAUUAGACUGCUGGCAGCCCACCAGCCCUGGGGAUCUGGCUUACAGACAACAAGUCAAGCAGACUGGCAAUUACUGUGUCACAUUCAACCCUGGCUGCCGCUCAAUCGUGGACCCUCGCCUCCGUGUGUUCCUCGUCUCCUUCCUUUUUUAUUUUUCAUUUUUUUCUGAAAACCUCUUUCCUUUCUAUAUCUGCUUGAUCUGUUAUUUUAUACUUUUCAUGUGUCUCUGCCUCCUGGAGUGUGCCAUGUCAUCAUUUUCCAAAGUCAUUUGACUAUCUAUCUUGAAACUUGAAUUUGUGUACUACAUGGAAAAUAAAAUGUAGAGGGCAAUGAGACGGAUGCUUAGUGGGUGAGCGAG